GAUGAAGAACGUAGCGAAAUGCGAUAAGUAGUGUGAAUUGCAGAAUUCAGUGAAUCAUCGAAUCUUUGAACGCACAUUGCGCCCCUUGGUAUUCCAUGGGGCAUGCCUGUUCGAGCGUCAUUUGUACCUUCAAGCUCUGCUUGGUGUUGGGUGUUUGUCUCGCCUCUGCGUGUAGACUCGCCUCAAAACAAUUGGCAGCCGGCGUAUUGAUUUCGGAGCGCAGUACAUCUCGCGCUUUGCACUCAUAACGACGACGUCCAAAAGUUCAUUUUUACACUCUUGACCUCGGAUCAGGUAGGGAUACCCGCUGAACUUAAGCAUAUCAAUAAGCGGAGGA
rnacentral:misc_RNA from 1 species